rnacentral:tRNA from 1 species
CGCGGAGUAGAGCAGCUUGGUAGCUCGCGAGGCUCAUAACCUCGAGGUCACGGGUUCAAAUCCCGUCUCCGCAA